GCCAAAAGAUACUGAGAGGUACUGCAACUGCUUCAUCCACCAAACCACGGUCUCUUGCAAGUUGUAGACGCUUGAACUCAACGAUAGCAGCAACUGACAUGCCCAACACAGAAAGGAAAUGUCCGAUUCCAAUUCGCUGUAAGUUGGAAAAUCCCCUUUCAUUUCCAGUAAGCCUCCUUGCAAUUGGAAUAAGGAUCCUAUCAUAGACAUCCCUUGCUCCACAAACAACGUCAUUUGUGCAUAAACAGCAGCAAAUAUUAUUCCAGUUGCCCAUAUGGGGAACAUGCGGAUCAA
rnacentral:misc_RNA from 1 species